ACCGGGGUGGGGGGGCCCUUGGCCUGGCCUGUGCCCUCUAGCAAUCUGGGACCCCUCAGGGGAUGUUGGACUGCUGGUUUCGGCCCAAUCCCCACAGGCCAGGCCAAGGGACCCCACCAGUGCACG
rnacentral:pre_miRNA from 1 species